ensembl:misc_RNA Metazoa_SRP Metazoan signal recognition particle RNA
GCCGGGCGCGGUGGCGCGCGUCUGUAAUCCCAGCUACUCGGAAGGCUGAGCCCGGAGGAUCGCUUGAGUCCAGGAGUUCUGGGCUGCAGUGCGCUAUGCCGAUCGGGUGUCCGCACUAAGUUCGGCAUCAAUAUGGUGACCUCCCGGGAGCGGGGGGACACCAGGUUGCCUAAGGAGGGGUGAACCGGCCCAGGUCGGAAACGGAGCAGGUCAAAACUCCCGUGCUGAUCAGAGAUGAGCCAGAAAUGUUAACUCAGAUUUUCAAGGGCUUUAUAAAUUCCGAGUGU